GUGUUUGAUUUAUUGUGUAUAUCCUUCUUACAUCGCUACGGGGUCUACAUUUAUACCCUGUUCAAAAGAGUUACAACCAGACACGACUAGGACUCUAAUUCCAAAUUGAACGGAAUCCGUACACAAAACGAACUUUAAUAGCUAUGGAAAACAUUAAUCUAUCCACCACAAGCGAUCGGCAUACCGCCAUCAUCCUGUCAGCAACUCCUACACCUCCCCCUGUUGUCAUCGGCAAUCGGCAAACCACCUUCCAUCGGCAUCGGCAACCACUAGUAUCAUUAAUCAGCAUAGAUCAAUCACCACCCUUGGACUUGGCUACAUCCUGUUGUUUCUCCAUCGACAUCAAUCCCAUCGGCAACUCCUUUGGUAACCAGUCACCACUCUUUCGUCUGCCGAUUUAUACUUCAUUAACUCCCAGAUACGCGUCCAAAGAUACGUGUCCAAAAAUGGUGUCAACAGUCACCAUGACAUUUCUCCCUCUCUUGUGAUGUCACUUGAUGUCCCUAUGGCAUCUCUCGAUCUCUCGCGGUAAGAACAUUGUUAGCGGCUACACCUAACAAGAUGAACUUCGACAAUCUACAUCGUUGGCUACGACCACGUCUUCCACUUCAACCACUUAGGUACUCCAUUGCCUUCCCCGGGUCGGUCAUUCUGCCAUUGACAUGUCUCUAGAUAUGACUAUUUGAGCAUGUCACUGAGGCACCCCAGUCGCUAAUGCCA
rnacentral:lncRNA from 1 species